UACGGAAGGCAGCAGUGGGGAAUAUUGCACAAUGGGCGCAAGCCUGAUGCAGCCAUGCCGCGUGUAUGAAGAAGGCCUUCGGGUUGUAAAGUACUUUCAGUCGUGAGGAAGGUGUUAAGGUUAAUAACCUUAGCAAUUGACGUUAGCGACAGAAGAAGCACCGGCUAACUCCGUGCCAGCAGCCGCGGUAAUACGGAGGGUGCGAGCGUUAAUCGGAAUUACUGGGCGUAAAGGGCACGCAGGCGGUUAAUUAAGUUGGAUGUGAAAUCCCCGGGCUUAACCUGGGAAUGGCAUUCAAGACUGGUUAGCUAGAGUCUUGUAGAGGGGGUAGAAUUCCAUGCGUAGCGGUGAAAUGCGUAGAGAUGUGGAGGAAUACCGGUGGCGAAGGCGGCCCCUGGGACAAAGACUGACGCUCAUGUGCGAAAGCGUGGGGAGCGAAACAGGGAUUAGAUACC
rnacentral:rRNA from 1 species